rnacentral:rRNA from 1 species
AGAGUUUGAUCAUGGCUCAGGAUUAACGCUGGCGGCAUGCCUAAUACAUGCAAGUCGAACGAGAGUAGCAAUACUCUAGUGGCGAACGGGUGAGUAACACGUAGGAAACCUACCUCAAAGACGAGGAUAACUACUGGAAACGGUAGCUAAAACUGGAUAGGAUAUACAAAGGCAUCUUAGUAUAUUUAAAAGUCCUUCUGGGAAUGCUAUGAGAUGGUCCUGCGGCGCAUUAGCUAGUUGGUGAGGUAAACGG